rnacentral:lncRNA from 1 species
CCUUGCUCAAAAACAAAGUAACUUCUCUGUCAACCAAAGAAAGAAUAGAAGCAUACAAUGCCGAAUGGAAUACAAAGCCCAUAGUUCCAAAUAGAGGCAGAGACAGCUGGACAUUUGAGUCCUACAGGGAAAAGGAACCCCAAACCAUCCGUGCAUGCAUAUGUCGGGUGGGGGUGAUGGGUGGAAUAUUUAAUCAGUGUUUGUAAAGGUUGAAUUUAUAGGUUCUUUUACAAGAAAGAAGAGAGCUGCUUGGAGCUAAAUACCCCGAAGCAAAUAACCUACUGGAGAUGAGUAGAAGCUCUCUGCUGUAGAUGGGGUUUUCCUUCAUCCUGUCUACAUCACGUUUUCGUCAUUUGCCUCACAUCUAUAGCCUUUGGACUUCUCAUCUCUGCCAAAGAAACGUGGGCCAGAUGCUCCUUGAAGAAAGACUGCGACUGUGCAUGUCAACCACUACUUCUCAUACUGAAGCCUAGGAAGAAAUGUCAGAACUGGCCAGGGGAAGCUGACACCCUGCGAAACACACCCAGAUCCUGCUUUCCUAGGACAGAAAAAAUGACCUCUGGCCUCUCUUUGCAAACUUUAGUUAAGAGUUGGGAGUAAGAGAUUCAUGACCACCAAGAAAGGUAAGUUACAUAUGUAUAGAUACAAUACUCUUAUUUUGUGCUCUUUUUUCUCCAAUCUUCAAUAAAUCACCUAAAAUAUAAUAAGACUUCUGUGCAGCCCGAUGGAGUAAACACUUCUGGAAUAAUUUUUCCUUCCCCAUUUCUCCAACAUCUUUCUUAUGACAUUUCUUUUUCUGAAAUUCAUUGGUCCUUG